rnacentral:rRNA from 1 species
UUUCUCAAUGGGCGAAASCUGAAGGAGCGACGCCGCGUGGGGGAUGAAUGGCUUCGGCCCGUAAACCCCUGUCAUUUGUGAACAAAUUGCUUCACCUAACACGUGAAGCAUUGAUUGUAACGGAAGAGGAAGGGACGGCUAACUCUGUGCCAGCAGCCGCGGUAAUACAGAGGUCCCAAGCGUUGUUCGGAUUCACUGGGCGUAAAGGGUGCGUAGGCGGUUGGAUAAGUCUGAUGUGAAAUCCCGCAGCUUAACUGCGGAACUGCAUUGGAAACUAUUUGACUAGAGGAAUGGAGGGGAGACUGGAAUACUUGGUGUAGCAGUGAAAUGCGUAGAUAUCAAGUGGAACACCAGUGGCGAAGGCGAGUCUCUGGACAUUUCCUGACGCUGAGGCACGAAAGCCAGGGGAGCAAACGGGAUUAGAUACCCCGGUAGUCCUGGCCCUAAACGGUGCGCGUUUGCUGUGAGCGGAAUCGACCCCGCUCGUGGCGAASUAACGCGUUAAACGCGCCGCCUGGGAAGUACGGCCGCAAGGUUAAAACUCAAAGAAAUUGACGGGGGCCUGCACAAGCGGUGGAGUAUGUGGCUUAAUUCGAUGCAACGCGAAGAACCUUACCUGGCCUUGACAUGCAAGUAGUAGAAGCCUGAAAGGGUGACGAAUCCGCAAGGAUAGCUUGCACAGGUGCUGCAUGGCUGUCGUCAGCUCGUGUCGUGAGAUGUUGGGUUAAGUCCCGCAACGAGCGCAACCCCUGUGUCCUGUUGCCACCCCUUAAAUGGGAGCACUCUGGACAGACUGCCUCGCUUCAACGAGGAGGAAGGUGGGGAUGACGUCAAGUCAGUAUGGCCCUUACGGCCAGGGCUGCACACGUACUACAAUGCCCGGUACAAAGGGAAGCAAGACUGUAAAGUGGAGCCAAUCCCCCAAAACCGGGCCCAGUUCAGBAUUGUCGUCUGCAACUCGACGACAUGAAGCUGGAAUCGCU